rnacentral:rRNA from 1 species
CACGUAGGGUGCGAGCGUUGUCCGGAAUUAUUGGGCGUAAAGAGCUCGUAGGCGGUGUGUCGCGUCGGCCGUGAAAACCUGCAGCUUAACUGUGGGCGUGCGGUCGAUACGGGCAUCACUGGAGUUCGGCAGGGGAGACUGGAAUUCCUGGUGUAGCGGUGAAAUGCGCAGAUAUCAGGAGGAACACCGGUGGCGAAGGCGGUGGUCUGGGCCGACACUGACGCUGUAGAGCGAAAGCGUGGGGAGCGAACAGG